UCAAUCUUAUUUGUGUUCCACAGAAGAUAGAGAGUCAUACACGUUUGAAACGACAUGAGGGUGAGUAAAAUGAUAUCACUAUUUUAAUUUUUUUAAUUUUUAAUUUUUUUUGCAUGUUGCUAGGCAUGAUGGGUAGAAUUAAAUUAAGUAAUUCAUAGUAAUUCUAGUAGUUUUUACAGUGAUCUUACCAUGGUUAAAGGGAUAAAUCAUCCAAAAAUGCAAUUUCUGUCAUUGUUUACUCGUGUCAUUCCAAACUGGUAUGACUUUAUUUAAUUUGUGGAAGACAAAAGAAUCAUGUGAUACCCCCAAAAUAACAGACCCCAUUGAAUUUCAUUGGACAAUCAAUCAAUCAAUCAAUCAAUCUUAUUUGUGUUCCACAGAAGAUAGAGAGUCAUACAGGUUUGAAACGACAUGAGGUCUGAGGUGUACCUGGCUUAUUUGGUGAUUGAUUCUCCUGCAGUGCUGCAGUCGUAAUGAGGCGGCAGGUGUUUGGGAAAUGCUAAGGGUAGCAGAUCUCCCAUCACUCAACUCACUUCCAAUUAAACUCAUACGGCAUGUCCUUCUCUCUACGACGGCUGUAAUGGAAUUAAAACGAACAAGAAAGGGUUACGGCGCAGACUGCUGACUCAGAGCUUUGGACCGGAGCACUUAAUUCCCUAAUCUGUAUUCCUUUGGCCUGUGGAGUACAAUACUUUCACUUCUCAGUAUUCCUGCUUAUAAAGCUCAUUUGAGCUCAUAUAUUUGAGACUGAAUGGAAUAAAUACUAAUAGCCUUCACUCCUUUCUAGAAUUAAAAGUGAUUUCAGACAAGGCAAUCUACAAUAAAGAAGCAUGC